UGGCAAAAGCUCAAAUUUGAAAUCUGGCACCUUCAGUGUCCGAGUUGUAAUUUGAAGAAGGUAUCUUUGGAUUUGGCUCUUGUCUAUGUUCCUUGGAACAGGACGUCACAGAGGGUGAGAAUCCCGUGCGAUGAGAUGCCCCAUUCCAU
rnacentral:rRNA from 1 species